UCAGAUUUGAAUAAUGUAAUCCUUCAUAUUUUAGUAGCUUUCUGUUCACUUUGACUUUAGCUCUGACUAUCUCUUGUUCCCCCUUAUCUCAGCUGUUUCAUUUUGGCAUGUCAAGGAAGAGGAAGAGAAGAGGCUGCAAAUGUGUAGGGACAGUGCCUGUGGAGCAGAUCACCUCUGGGACAUCCAGCUGAAAUGUUUGAAACGCCUUCGAGUUUGGCAGCUUUCCGUUUGCUUUCCCUUUUCCUUCCUUUUUUUAGUCCUCCAGUAAUAGCUCCCUUGUUCCAAAGAACAAAACCAGCACUUAGUGGUCAUUCAGAAAGAUUCAUUAAAAACAGGAAUGGAGUAAUUGUAAACAGGCACCCCCCUCCUAUCAUCCCCCCCCCUUCCAUUCUAGCCCAGGGCACAGCAGCCUUGUGUUGUCUGGCUCCAGACAAUUUUUGGGAGAAAAAAAGAAACAAUAGUCUUUGGAGGUUAAAAUAACCUUUCCUUAUUCAGCUGUUACAGUACUUUCUUAGAAAACUAAGAGAAUAACCACAAUUUUAAUAUUUUAAAACAUCGCACUUUGACUGAUAAAUGUUCUCUUGUUGUAAAAUCAAAGCAUGACUCUUUUCUAGUAAAAUAGAUGUAGUAACUGUGCUAAGAUUUUAUUGCAAGAGGCAAGAAAGGUGGGAAACAGCAAUGGGGAGGUUAGAUAUGGCAAUUUUCUUAUAGACUGGGGUAAUCAGUGUUUAAUAAAUCUGUAAUUCACUCCUGGGUUGUCUUUUUUACAAGAGCUAUCCAAUAAUAUUGCAGAUUUGUGAACCUUUGUGCUUACCAAGAGUUAUUGGCAGUGGCAUAGUUUGUGAGGAAUAGAGGUAAUUUGCUGGAUUUGUGACGUUUGUGGAAAUUGUUUCAUCACUAAGAGACUUCUUUAAUUACAGAAUUAUGGAAGGGAGCUGCAGAUGUGCUCUGGGUUCCCCUCCUCCCUCCCCUUUGCCUCUGCAGCUGCAGAGCCCUUGCAGAGUGUCUCCUGCCUUCCCACCCUCAUCAGCUCUGCCCGGGACUGAACAGAAGCUGGGGCUGCUAAAAUGCCUGGGGUUUAGGUGCAGAAAUAUUUUAACAGUUCCAACUGCUCCAAAACUGAGCUUUUUAUCAGUAAUAGCCAGUGUUCAUUGAACAAGGGCUGGGUACUUAUUAAAUAAUUGCAGCAUUUUUGAGAGCCAGAUGGUUUGGCAGCACUCCUUGAGUAAACUAUUUUGUUAUCUGCACUAGUGUGAGAAGCACUUUUCAAUUGGAGAAGCAGCUGACUUCAAAAGCAGGACAAUCAGUGUGUUGGUCUGACCUGGCAUGGAGUUGCCCAGAGAUAAACUGGAUUUGAAUGAGCCCCAGCAGAAGAGGCCAGAGCAGGAAAGCAUGGGGAAGGACAGCACGUAUAGGGUCUCUUCAUAUAACAAAUGUAAGGAGACAGGUUUUGUGUGCACGCUGCCGGACUGAUGGGAUGUGGCACAGCUUCUUCCACCUCCAGCUGAACCUUGUGGCAGAAGACAGUUGAAACCCCAGGUCUGGUUUAGCUAAUGUGAAGAGAGAGACCAAGAUCAAGUGAAGCUAUUUAUCUGAAAAUGAUGUGUGACCUUCUUUAAGAUCAAGGAAGCAGCAAUCCUGAGCGCCCACCAGUCCUGUGCUCCAUGAAUCCAGUGAUCAAUAGAGGUGCAGUACAUUGGAGUGCCUCCACAGGUUUCCAAACUGAGGGAAAGAUAAAGUUCAAAAUGGCAGAGAAUGUGUCCUGGAGAGCCAAGAAAGGGACAGGCUAUGGCUUUGAUUGGAAGAGCAUCAAAGUGCUGUAGAAGAGGAAGAAGGGAGGAGAAAAAAAAUCCAAACAAAACUCAAAACAAACAGAUGAACUGAAUGGCUUUCAGAAACAUGAGAGAGGCCUUCUGAUUUGGGCUCAGAGCUGGAAUAUGUCUUAAAUCUCAGGCUACUAUGUCAAUUAAAUUCAGUUACAAAGGAGAGCAAGCACAUGCCUCUGGGAGCCAAAGGGAAAUAUUGAUAAAUAAACUGCAGUGGAUAGUUCUUCCAUUCCUAACAAACAAUGCUGGUAAAGAGGACAAUGGGGGUGCUGUUUUGAUGAGAUUCUAAUCCGUGACUGGAAUAGCUUAGCGUAAAACAUGGAAAUUUUGCUUUGUCAGAGGCCUGUGAAUGGUACUGAAAUUGUAAUUGUGGUCAGUGCUAUUGUGAGACCCAAACACUGGAAGAUGUGAUCUUUGCCAUGAGUUUUCACAUGUUCUUUUUAUGUGCCUGGUGGCCUAUGUAUAAAAGCCUUGUCAUAGUUUGAAGAGCAGGGAGCAAAUGGACUUGCUAAUGCCCGGGAGUUGGUCUUCAGUUAGCACAUGGAUUGCUGUGAACUCAGCAGCAUUUAUUGCAUGG